rnacentral:rRNA from 1 species
GAUGAACGCUGGCGGCGUGCCUAAUACAUGCGAGUCGAGCGAACGGACGAGAAGCUUGCUUCUCUGAUGUUAGCGGCGGACGGGUGAGUAACACGUGGAUAACCUACCUAUAAGACUGGGAUAACUUCGGGAAACCGUAGCUAAUACCGGAUAAUAUUUUGAACCGCAUGGUUCAAAAGUGAAAGACGGUCUUGCUGUCACUUAUAGAUGGAUCCGCGCUGCAUUAGCUAGUUGGUAAGGUAACGGCUUACCAAGGCAACGAUGCAUAGCCGACCUGAGAGGGUGAUCGGCCACACUGGAACUGAGACACGGUCCAGACUCCUACGGGAGGCAGCAGUAGGGAAUCUUCCGCAAUGGGCGAAAGCCUGACGGAGCAACGCCGCGUGAGUGAUGAAGGCCUUCGGAUCGUAAAACUCUGUUAUUAGGGAAGAACAUAUGUGUAAGUAACUGUGCACAUCUUGACGGUACCUAAUCAGAAAGCCACGGCUAACUACGUG